rnacentral:rRNA from 1 species
ACUCAAAUGAAUAGACGGGGGCCCGCACAAGCGGCGGAGCGUGCGGUUUAAUUCGACGCAACGCGCAAAACCUUACCAGGGCUUGACAUGCACCUGCAGAGCCGGGAAACCGGUUGGCCUUCGAGGGUGGUGCACAGGUGCUGCAUGGCUGUCGUCAGCUCGUGUCGUGAGAUGUUGGGUUAAGUCCCGCAACGAGCGCAACCCUCGUGCGUAGUUGUCGAUGUUUCUACGCAGACUGCCGCGAGCAACGCGGAGGAAGGUGGGGAUGACGUCAAGUCAGCAUGGCCCUUACGUCCUGGGCUACACGCACGCUACAAUGGCGGGGACAACGGGUCGCCAAGCGGUAACGCGGAGCGAAUCCCAGCAAACCCCGUCUCAGUUGGAAUUGUGGGCUGCAACUCGCCCGCAUGAACGCGGAGUCGCUAGUAACCGCCGGUCAGCACUACGGCGGUGAAUACGUUCCCGGGCCUUGUACACACCGCCCGU